GGAUUUGUGGCUCAGUGGUAGAGUGCUCACCUCGCAUGUGCGGGAUCCUAGGUUCGAUCCUCAGCACCA
rnacentral:tRNA from 1 species